UGUGAUGUUGAACCUAAACUUAACCUUAACCACCAUACUAACUUUAUAUUAAGUCCAAAAAGUUAGUUUUUGUUUUCAUGAAUGAUUUAUUACGAUAUAGCCAUUUUGACUUUGGCUGUGCAAUCUAGUGCAAACCUGUAAAAUGUCUUAUCCACCGAUUGGUCAUCCCCAGGAAGUGGAUUGAAGAACCCACCUGAUCGAUUUGAACCAGUAGUUGUACAGUAUAAUUAUAAUUGCGCAGGACUAAAAGUGGCUGCUAGAUUUAAGCGGUUUGUUGUCUGCGGGAUGUCCAGGAAUAAAACCGGCCGGAUUGGAAUUUGAUUUAGUCUAUGGAGGUGCGGAACGGGAAAACGCUGCCCUUUCAUAAUCUCUUAAACGGGAGGGGAUUUACUGUCGAGUGUCGACUAAUCCAUUGAAGAGACUGCAUGUCUCGUUUCGCGACAUCGUUUUCUUGUGAUGUUUUGGUCAACAGUUUGUGACAUUGUUGCAGCGCUAACGUUAGAGUCCCCAGCGCGGUCACAGGUAAACUGGCGCCAACGGUUCAAGAAGAAUAACUGACCAUAUUCAUCUUCGAACUAUUCACCAUGUUUCUGCAACUGUACAGAGACCUUCGGUUUUGUCGUUGUACAGUCAGUCUGAAUGCUAUCAGAUAGCCGAGGGGAGAUGAGGGCUGAUGUGGAGUACAGCCCGGUCGGCGAGGGGCUGUGGAUGAGCGAGUUCUGGCUCCAUGUGUGGAUGCGGAGGGUCGCCGUGAUCGCUGCCCAUGUUAUUGCCUUUGGUCUCACUGUGCUGAUUUCACUACUUUCUGGAACAAGUCUCUUUUCCUGGCAUCCUGUUUGUAUGUCUAGUGAAGUAAGUGGUCCUAAUGGCAUAAACAUGACACACACAAACACUGGCUGAAGUGUAGUACUAUACCAAAAUACCAGCUAUGUCUAGUUUUAGUUAAGGUAAUGUCACUGUGGCAGAUGAAGCUCUAUGGCAUCUUAUUUCUGCUGUGACAUGUACACUGCCAUGUCAUGCCUCUCCGCUGCAAAGGAAUUAUACCAACACUGUAUGUCUAUCUUUUAAGAUACCAAGUAUGCAUCCUAGGAUGUGGACUCGCACAUACAGUAGAGUACAGUAGAUACAGUAGCCAAUAGACACAGACAUACAUACGUGGUAUCUUAAAAGAUAGACAUACAGGUAACUGCCAAAAUGAAGAUAACACCAACAUAAAGAGUCUUAAUAGGGUGUUGGACCACCAAGAGCCAGAACAACUUCACUGUUUUCUAUGAUUACAUUACAUUUUUCAAACAAUAUAGACAUAUACAGACACAACAAAAAAAACGAUAGACGCACACAAACAUCAAUGACAUCACAUCUGUCCAGACCCACAUGUUCCCACCGCAUCUCCAGUGACAUAGAACGUGUGAACAUGUAAGAUGAACAAACAUUUAACAGAGAACACACCAAAGACAUAAAGCAAGUACUUCUUUGUACUUUGUGCCUUUUUAGGGCUUAUAAACUCUAACUCAUCACCUAAUGUACCAAAAGACUGGAUUAUGUCAUUGUAAAUACAUUGGCGAAAGACUGCCACUUAAAGCUGCAAAUAUGUAACUGUUUGGGCGACCUGACAAAAUGCACAAAGAAAUAUGAGUUAAAGAUCUAUAAUUUUCUUUGAAAGCAAAUCUAAGGAGCAGUAGAUCUGUUCUAUGUGCUCUUUCUAUGCUUCCUGUUUUUUAAGUUUCGGUUUUCUGUCUUACUUUUGGUUUUGUACGCCAGCUUCAAACAGCUGGAAAUACAAUAUUUUUGGUUCUGGAAAAUAUAUUUCACAGCGGUUUAGAUAGUACAGUUAUUCUGUACACUAUACUUGCUUGUUUUGUCACUUAAACUGAAAUAAUAACUAUUAGAAUUUUAGUAACCAGGAAAUGGCGGUGCGAUUUCUGCAUAGUGCAUCUUUAAAUACUGUGGUCAAUUUAUAAUACCUUGUGAAUUAAAGUAUAGUGGCUGGCGGGGCUCUACUUGGGGAGAGUGGGUCCACCGAAAGACCGAAGUGAGAUGAGUGAAGAGGCAUCACACAUCCUUCAGGGAAAUGUCUGAUGCCCUCCCAGCCACCCGUCCCAAUCCCUCAGAUGGAGCCCAUCUCCACUCUCACCAAUAACCACCAUUGGAUCCUAGCUAUAAUGGCAAACAAGGAAUAACGAUGACUUGACUUCCUCUCCUAAUUUGGCAUUGUUGUCAUGCUCAUCAAACCAUUCAGUGACCACUCAUGCCUUGUGGAUGGGGGAAUUGUCAUUAUAUGGGGGCAUAGCCAUGGUCGCCAAAAUAAUGGUCCGCACUGCAUUUUUAUACAUGACCCUAAAAGCAUGAUGUGAUUUUAAUGACUUAAUUAACUCAGAAACCACACCUGUUUGGAAGCACCUGCUUUUUAUGUACUUUGUGUCCCUCAUUCCUCAAGUGUUUCCACUUUUAUUUUGGCAGUUACUUGUACAUACUUAGUAUCAUAAAAGAUAGACACAGACAAUGGUGUAGUGGAGGGUAUAAGCCGGUAUAUGCCAUUUACCAAGGUAUUUUUCAGUGGGCAUUGCGUAUACUCCUUAAUCCCCACAUUGCUUAUAAAAGUAGUGUAGUGAAGGUAUACGCCUAUCAAUGGCUGAUGGAUCAGAUCAGAAUGUUUAGCUUUAAAAAUAAAUCUGAAACCUGUGAAUGACAGACUCAUGUUUGUUUCAGUAGUAGGCCUACUAUUAGCCUACUGGCACAGAGUGUGAAAGACUAAUAUGAGAUUUAUAAUUUUAAGUCAUUCAGAGUAUGUCACUGUUUCUCAUAUAAUUUUUAUAUAAUAUAGUAUAUGCCAUUUAGCAGACACUUUUAUCCAAAGCAACUUACAGUCGUGUGUAUACAUUUUAUGUAUGGUUUGCCCCGGGAAUCAAACCCACAACCCUCGCUGUGCAAGUGCCAUGCUCUACCAAUUUUUCACACAGGGCGCCUUUCCUUCACCGUGCGGGCCGUUAAGGGAAAUGUUUGGUAAAAUGACAGUAUACUACCACUCCAGGCACCACCACCACUGGACACAGAUAUACAUACUAGGUAUCUUGAAAGAUUAUCACCUGGCACUCAGUCUUACACAAGUACAUAUACAAUCGACUAACUGGAGACAACGUUUGUUGUGCUGACACACCUAUAAACACCUGGGUGUGGCCAUUGUAUCCUGAUGACCUUGUAUGGGACCUGCCCUGAGAGGCUUAUGAAAGCGGACCACUACUGGGACAGAGCGGAUGUAACUGAAGUCGUCUCCUUUGCUUCAUCUGUUUCUCUAGAUGCUACUUUGCACAUUUUAUCCAGCAAACAAUAACUCUGAGACACUACUGUAUCUGGAUGGUUUAAGGGAAUACAGUACCUACUUUACUGUGUAUCAACCUGAAUCUGUGGUUGUGAGCAGAGCAGCUAUGUGGAUGUGUAUUUUACCAACCCAUUUUUAUCAGGGGUCGGCAACUAGAUUGAGCCGCGGAAUGUUUUUUGUCAGAGCAAAUUGUCAGGGGGCUGGAACAUAAUUAUGUAAAUUUGCACAUAACACUGCAAAUUGACCACAACUAAGUCCAAAAAUAGAUUUGAUUUGAAAAUAACAAUCAUUUCAUACCUCGAUUACAUUGAGACACAAUCACAUAUCUUUUUAUUUCAUUUGUAAGAAUACAUGGGAAAAGAUUUCCUAAAUUAAACACAUUUUUAGCUGAAUUCCUGGUGAUAUUAGUAUAGUUGUACCUGAAACUAAAAUCACUCACGGGACGGUUUUGGCUCGCGUGUUGCCGACCCCUGCUUUAUAUGUUCUAUUCAUGAUUUGUCUGUGUGUGUUGUCAGUCACACUAUGUUACUGAACAUUAGCCUCUAUGACACAUUUCAAAAGUGUCAUAUCUGUUUUUAUUUUAACCCACUUAUGUUUAACCCAUGCAGGUUGUCUUGCCUGAGUCAAUGGGAGAACUGUGUGUCUUGUGGCAGUUUCAUUGACACUUGAAGGUAUUUGUUUUUUCUAAGUGAGGAUGUGUUUUGGUCUAUUUUUAAACUUUGUGCGCCAGGGCUUUCAAACAAAGGCCUAUUGGAUGUGCCAGCACAACGCCUAAACUUCUCCCAGUCUUGUUCAGUAGAUAGAAACAUGUAACAAAUGGUCAUAAUACAAUGAUCAAUUUACCUUUAUCUAUUUAAAGAAAUAGUGACCAAAUACCAGAAUGUUGUUGGUCCAUUUCUAUACUUGAUAAAGUGUAAAUAAGUAAAACUACACACGAAAAGGGAAAAAUAUAUUAUGAGACCAUAAUCAAAUAUUUGUUUAAGGAGGUGCCUGUUUUUUAUUCCUCAAGUCUUCCCUGCAGGAGUAAAGGAGAUGGUUGUUAAUGUUGUAUCCACCGAGAUCCCUGUGUGUAUAUUCCCUGCUAUUCUAUAUCAUGUAAGUCCCGCAAACUCAACUCUGGACCUCGAAGCCAGUGAGUAUUUUAAAAUGGUUCCCCUCUAAUUAGGGACGGAUUUAGACAUGAGAAAUGAGGUGGGUGCAAUUCAUUAUCAGGUAGAACAGAAACCAUCAGGCUCCAGACCUCGUAGGGUAAGAGUUGAAUAACCCUGAUGCAGGUCAAAGUUUGCAAGUUACUUGGUGUAUGGCCAAUAAAAUGGCAUUUGGUACCCAUGUUGUGAAACGCAAAUCUCUUCUCUGCUUGACUUGCCUGCAAAACCAAUGCAACUCCCUGUUUUAAAUUCUGCUUAUGGCCUCAUUUUAACUAACACAAGGCUUGUUGCGUUUACUGAUUACGAGUGGCUGAAUGUAGUUUCUAAGGUGGUCUUUCAGUAUGAUUAUAUGGUUUGAGUUGAGGGGACCAGGCAAAUCAAACCAAUGUAUGUAUACUUGCAGAAUAUAUUUAUUUUCCAAAUGCAACAAGUUCACAGUACGAUUUCUGUUUGAAAUGAGAACCUCUAAAAUGUAGGUAGGCUAUUCUACUCAAGGCUAUGACCUUCAAACCCAAACGGUGUGCUUAUUAGCAUAGGAAGAAGUGACCACUAACCACUGAUCCAGCAGUAGAUAUUUUCUCAUCCCCCUGUUAGCAUUAAUAUCAGGUAGGGAAAAUCUAGUCAUAUAUAGAUCUGUGUUUGACGGCAACAUCGACCUCAAGUGUGUUCAUUGAAUAAGCUGAGUAUAUAUUAAUGGUCAGUAAUUUGGGUUCGUUUUAAGGAGGCACAUACCUCCUCAGUCAAGCAUGUAUAUACACCAGACUGACUAUGAUUCCGUCUAGUGAACCAUUAAUGUAAGCUCGCGGCAAUAGACAACUAUGGUUGCUGUGAACCUGCUGAUGUGUUGUGUCUCAAUAAAAACCUUGAAUCCCA